rnacentral:piRNA from 1 species
UUCCUCAUGGGUAAAAUUGGGAUAUCAAGAC